AGCACAAUUGCUGGAUCAUAUUGUAAAACUAUGUUUAAUUUAUAAGAAACUAGCAAACUCUUUUCCAAAGUAGCUGUACUAUUUUGCAUUUCCACCAGCAGU
rnacentral:pre_miRNA from 1 species